CAUUUUUAAAACUUCUAUUUUAUUUUUUUAAAAAAAUAAAAUUUUCUUCUAUUUUAAUUUAAAUUUAUAAAUAAGAAUAUAAAGAAAGUUUUUAAUUUUUUAAUAUAAACUAUAUUUAAAUU
rnacentral:rRNA from 1 species